rnacentral:rRNA from 1 species
CCAAAGUGUAGCUUAACAAAGCGUCUGGCUUACAUCCAGAAGAUUCAUUAAUAUAUGACUACUUUGAACCCAAAGCUAGCCCAAGCAACAAUGACUAGUAAACCAUUAUGAAACAUUCAAACAAACAUUUAGUAGCAUGACUAGAGUAUAGGAGAUAGAAAUUUUUAACUGGAGCUAUAGAGAGAGUACCGCAAGGGAAUGAUGAAAGAUUACCUAAAGUGAUAAACAGCAAAGAUUGCCCCUUCUACCUUUUGUAUAAUGAGUUAGCUAGAAAUAACUUAACAAAGAGAACUUAAGCUAAGUCCCCCGAAACCAGACGAGCUACCUAUGAACAAUCCACUGGGAUGAACUCAUCUAUGUUGCAAAAUAGUGAGAAGAUCCAUAGGUAGAGGUGAAAGGCCUAACGAGCCUGGUGAUAGCUGGUUGCCCAGAAUAGAAUUUUAGUUCGACUUUAAACCUGCCUACAAAACUAAUAAUUCUAAUGCAGAUUUAAAAUAUAUUCUAAAAAGGUACAGCUUUUUAGAGUUAAGGAUACAGCCUUACUU